CCCGCUGAACUUAAGCAUAUCAAUAAGCGGAGGAAAAGAAACUAACAAGGAUUCCCCUAGUAACUGCGAGUGAAGAGGGAAAAGCUCAAAUUUAAAAUCUGGCAGUCUUUGAUUGUCCGAGUUGUAAUUUAGAGAAGUGUUACCCGUGUUGGCCCGUGUACAAGUUUCCUGGAAUGGAACGUCAUAGAGGGUGAGAAUCCCGUCUUUGACACGGACUACCAAUGCAUUGUGGUAUGCUCUCGAAGAGUCGAGUUGUUUGGGAAUGCAGCUCUAAAUGGGUGGUAAAUUCCAUCUAAAGCUAAAUAUUGGGGAGAGACCGAUAGCGAACAAGUACCGUGAGGGAAAGAUGAAAAGAACUUUGGAAAGAGAGUUAAACAGUACGUGAAAUUGCUGAAAGGGAAACGCUUGAAGUCAGUCGCGUUGGCCGGGGAUCAGCCUCGCUUUUGCGUGGUGUACUUUCCGGUUGACGGGUCAACAUCAAUUUUGACCACUGGAAAAAGACUUGGGGAAUGUGGCAGCUCCGGCUGUGUUAUAGCUCUUUGUCAUAUACAGUGGUUGGGAUUGAGGUACUCAGCACGCCGCAAGGCCGGGUUUCGACCACGUUCGUGCUUAGGAUGUUGGCAUAAUGGCUUUAAGCGACCCGUCUUGAAACACGG
rnacentral:rRNA from 1 species